rnacentral:piRNA from 1 species
AAAAAAAAGGUCUGGUUUUUCUC